UGGCAUUUCGUUUGGUGCUCGAGCUCGUCC
rnacentral:piRNA from 1 species